CAGCAGCCACGGUAAUACGAAGGGGGCUAGCGUUGUUCGGAAUUACUGGGCGUAAAGCGCACGUAGGCGGAUAUUUAAGUCAGGGGUGAAAUCCCGCAGCUCAACUGCGGAACUGCCUUUGAUACUGGGUAUCUUGAGUAUGGAAGAGGUUAGUGGAAUUGCGAGUGUAGAGGUGAAAUUCGUAGAUAUUCGCAGGAACACCAGUGGCGAAGGCGGCUAACUGGUCCAUAACUGACGCUGAGGUGCGAAAGCGUGGGGAGCAAACAGGAUUAGAUACCCGAGUAGUCCCUGUCUCUUAUAC
rnacentral:rRNA from 1 species